rnacentral:rRNA from 1 species
GAUGAACGCUAGCGGCAGGCCUAACACGUGCAAGUCGAGGGGCAGCACAGAAACAGCAAUGUUUUGGUGGCGACCGGCGGACGGGUGCGUAACGCGUAUGCAACCUACCUUUAACAGGGGGAUAACGGAGAGAAAUUUCCACUAAUACCCCAUAACAUCGAUCAAGGCAUCUUGAUUGGUUGAAAACUCCGGUGGUUAAAGAUGGGCAUGCGUUGUGUUAGGUAGUUGGUGAGGUAAUGGCUCACCAAGCCUACGAUACAUAGGGGGACUGAGAGGUUAGCCCCCCACACUGGUACUGAGACACGGACCAGACUCCUACGGGAGGCAGCAGUGAGGAAUAUUGGUCAAUGGGGGCAACCCUGAACCAGCCAUGCCGCGUGCAGGAAGACGGCUCUAUGAGUUGUAAACUGCUUUUAAACAGGGAUAAAGCACAGUAUGUAUACUGUGUUGAAGGUACUGUAAGAAUAAGGAUCGGCUAACUCCGUGCCAGCAGCCGCCGUAA